CGUCAAAGUGUGAUAUGGUACCUAUUGUAGAAUGGUCCGGCGAGUUAUUGUAUGCAGCAAGGUUAAGGACUUAAGGUCUGAAGCCGAAGCGAGAGCGAGUCUUAACAGGGCGAUAAGUUGCAUGUAAUAGACCCGAAACCGGGUGACCUAUCCAUGUCCAGGUUGAAGUGGAGGUAAAACUCCAUGGAGGACCGAACCGACCUCCGUUGAAAAGGCGGCGGAUGAGGUGUGGAUAGCGGAGAAAUUCCAAUCGAACCCGGAUAUAGCUGGUUCUCCCCGAAAUAGCUUUAGGGCUAGCGUUGUAUAUGAUUACCGGAGGUAAAGCACUGAAUAGGCUAGGGACCGAGAGGUUACUGAACCUUAUCAAACUAAGAAUGCCGGAUAAUAAGAGUACAGCAGUCAGACUAUGUGAGAUAAGUCUCAUGGUCAAAAGGGAAACAGCCCAGACCCACAGCUAAGGUCCCAAAAAUAGGUUUAAAGUGGAGAAGGAUGUGGGGUUGCAUAGACAACCAGGAUGUUGGCUUAGAAGCAGCC
rnacentral:rRNA from 1 species